CAGUGACAAGGAGGGGGUAGAAUCACUGUCAGAGGACGUGGAUCAACUUGUCACUCUGUGAAUAUUUUUCACUACAGUUCGAUGAAUCCCUGGAUGUAAUGCAAACAGCUCAGCUUGUUGUAUUUGUCAGAAUGGCUUUCCAGGAUUUUACAACAAAGGAAGACUUCCUCGCUCUUUUGCAAUUAAAGGAAAGAAUGAGAGGUGAGGAUAUUUACAAUGAGUUUAAAAAAUAUGUCCAUGAAAAUGACAUCCCCAUUCAUAAACUGGUAGCAAUUACUCCUGAUGGGGCCGAGCAAUGCGCAGUGUGUUUUAUAGCAAUAAAAGUCAGUGCGUACUUCAGGUUAACUUAUCUAGUUUUAUAGCACUGAAAGUCAGUGCCUACUUCGGGUCACUACUAUGUGAAAUUGCAUUUUCACAGAUGAAAAUUAUUAAAUCUAAGUACAGGAGCUGACUUACUAACAGACACCUCUCUAGGAUUGCCAACUUUCUCACUCCCAAAUAACAGACAAAAGUAGCAGUCAAAUCCCAGGACAUUUUGUCACAAUGGUGGGGCAUUGGGAGUAAGGGUGGACCCAAAUGCAAGACACAUCUUGUGAGGUUACUUCGAUUUAGUUUACUGUUCGAUACCAGGAGACAAGGCAGAAGCAGGAGGAGCAAACUGGACAAGUACUCAGGACUACGACUAGGCCGGACCAAGGGUCUGGGCUUGGACUCGGAAUCAGCUCCCAGAACUAGAGGAGACAUGAAGAGGCUAGGGUAUGGACUCCGAGCUGGAGACUGGACAAGGACCUAGUACCUGGGUCUUACCUCGGGCUCAGACCCAGAACCAGGCAAGGACAUGACAUGGGCUAGGGAGAGGAGGAACAUGGAAACACAGAGCCUUGGUCUCAGGGAGCAGGUACAUGGAACCAUGGACACAUACACAGAACAGAGAGUCGGGACCCCUCCUUGGGUACAGGACAUAGGGCCGGGACUCAUGACCCUCCGCAGGGCAACAGCAAGACAGCCAGACUUACCCCACGGAGGCAAGGACAAGACAAGACAUGACUCCCCAGGGGGCAAUGGCAAGACGGCCAGACUUGCCCCACAGAGGCAAGGACAAGACAAAACAAGACCAACACAAAAGAACCCCAGACAGUACCUAUCUAGCUCUGGCAAUGGAACUAGACCGAAGUGCAGGUGGGGGCUACAGACGAGGGCUGGAGGCAAGAGGGGCAGAGAACAGAUUCAGACCAGGGGGUAGGACAGGAAUCACAGAAUGCCAGGGCCAGGACUUGACUAGGUACUUGGAGGCCACCAGGGCCAGGACUUGACUUGGUACUCAGAGACUGCCAGGGCAGGACUUGUACUUGGACGUGGUACUUGGAUGCCACCGGAGCCAGGACCUGGACAUGGUACUUGGAUACCGCCAGAGCCAGGACUUGGACAUCGUACUUCAAUGCUGCCAGAGCCAGGACUUGGAUGUGGUACUUGGAACUUCCGGGUAGUGACGAGUUCUAGACUCGGCCCAGGAACAGUAAACAGCAGCUCCUGAUUCUCUCCGGCAGGUUAACUGAUGGACCCACCUCGAUGAGGAAACUUUGCAGGCUCGCUUUGGCAAGAUUCUGCUGUCAUACCCAGUGGUUCCACUUGUAAAUUUGGUUCACGUCCAGAAAGGGAAUGUGGACAU